UGGGGAAUAUUGCACAAUGGGCGCAAGCCUGAUGCAGCCAUGCCGCGUGUGUGAAGAAGGCCUUCGGGUUGUAAAGCACUUUCAGCGAGGAGGAAGGUGGUGAGCUUAAUACGCUCAUCAAUUGACGUUACUCGCAGAAGAAGCACCGGCUAACUCCGUGCCAGCAGCCGCGGUAAUACGGAGGGUGCAAGCGUUAAUCGGAAUUACUGGGCGUAAAGCGCACGCAGGCGGUUUGUUAAGUCAGAUGUGAAAUCCCCGGGCUCAACCUGGGAACUGCAUUUGAAACUGGCAAGCUAGAGUCUCGUAGAGGGGGGUAGAAUUCCAGGUGUAGCGGUGAAAUGCGUAGAGAUCUGGAGGAAUACCGGUGGCGAAGGCGGCCCCCUGGACGAAGACUGACGCUCAGGUGCGAAAGCGUGGGGCAGCAAACAGGAUUAGAUACCCUGGUAGUCCACGCUGUAAACGAUGUCGAUUUUGGGGGUUGUGCCCUUGAGGCGUGGCUUCCGGAGCUAACGCGUUAAAUCGACCGCCUGGGGAGUACGGCCGCAAGGUUAAAACUCAAAGGAAUUG
rnacentral:rRNA from 1 species